AGCAGCGUAGCCAGUGCUUUGGGGAGAGGCAGGUUGUGCACUUGUGCUGCAAGGUGCAAGCUCCUGCUGAACUCUCUCUCUCUCUAUCUCUGUAUGUCAGGAGGUGGGCUGUGAUAAUGCAGUAAUCACUUGACCCUGCACCCACACACCCAUCUCCCCAAUCUAAAACUUGUCAUGCCAAAAAACGGGUCUGGAGGUGCAUGUGAUAGUGUCUGUACCUCUGAGCCAAGUAGCCUGGGUUCAAGUCCCACCUGCUCCAUAGAUUCCGUUGAUCCUUGGCAGAACUGGAGGUAGGAAGUACAAGGCAGCAGAUGGCAGAAUGGGAGACCUGGGAGAGCAGGAGCACUCGAAGUACAGUUCAACGAGAACAGAAGAGAAUGUCUUGAGCACAAAGAACAGAUAUUUUGUUAUGAUUUAGGAAUGAUUAUAUUCAUACAUUUGGAUAGACAUCACUUGCUAUUACCACACUACAGUCUAUCGACCAAUAAUGACAGCCACAUAUGGUGUGACCUAAGAAAUGCACUUAAUGAAACUCCAGCAUUUGAGUGCUAAGUUGUGAUUAUUUCAAACUUCUGGAAACCACUAGAAAUAAUAACAGGGAAAACAGAAGUGUAAGGGAAGGGCAGAACACUGAGAAAACAGGACCAAUGGUAAAGGAGAAACAGAUCGUUGACUACCAAUCCCGCUUUGGCUUGGCCACUACACCUUGAACAGUCACUCAUUUAUAAGGUCAGUCAAAUGUCAUUUCUUGCAAAUGGGUCUGAAUGGGAUAAUACAUGAUCGCAUACAAUAUGCACUACCCACUGUGAUAGUGUCAUGAGGACACAACUGAAAAGAGAAAGAAAGUGGGAUCUCUUGGAAGGCAGACUGAGUAUCGGUCCUCCCACUGUCUUUGCAGUAACAUGUAGCCUAUUAUAGUUGUGGAAAACCAAUAACCCACAUCUCAUUUACUCGACUCUUCUUGUUAGACCAGAAAACAGCCAACCCCACACACCAGAUCAUGUUAGCCCCCAAAGAACAUUCACAUUGAGAAGAUAUGGAUGGCAGCUCACAUAAUAUCAUGGAUCCAGUAGAAGGUGCCUGUUUGAACUUUUGGUUAUUUAAUACUGGGUUUUAUUAAAAUAAAUGAUAAUGGAUUCUGCUCAUGGUAACUGGAAAGGUUUGUGUUUAUAAAGCAUCUUUCAUAACCCAAAGACCUCCCAAAAUAGUUUACAGGCAGUAAAGUAUGUUUUGAAGAACAGUAAUUGGCUGCCUCAUUUCCUAUUUCACAACAAUUUAUACACAGCAAACCCUCUCAAACUGCAAUGUGUGAUGUUGUUUGAGGGAUAACUAUCAUUUGGAAUAAUAUCCCUGUUCUUCUUAAAAAUACUGCUCUGGGAUAUUUAUGUCCAACUGAGCUGGCAGACAGGGCCUUUGUUAAACUUCUCACUAAAAAGAUUACACUUACAACAAUCAAU